rnacentral:rRNA from 1 species
UACGGGGGGGGCAAGCGUUGUUCGGAAUUACUGGGCGUAAAGGGUUCGUAGGUGGCCAACUAAGUCAUACGUGAAAUCCCUCAGCUUAACUGGGGAACUGCGUCUGAUACUGGUUGGCUUGAGUGCAGGAGAGGAACGCGGAAUUCCAGGUGUAGCGGUGAAAUGCGUAGAUAUCAGGAGGAACACCGAUGGCGAAGGCAGGUCUCUGGGCUGACACUGACGCUCAUGCACGAAAGCGUGGGGAGCAAACAGG